UGGCCGAAGAUGGGAAGAAAAAAAUCUAGCCAAAAUCCUCACAAACUUGCUUCAAUCCACUUCCAAAUUUCAUCAUCCAUUAGAGGGCUUUGAUCCUAGCUUGGAAGAGGGGGCUGUUCAUCGGUUUUCUUGGAGGAAUUUCGGUCAAGAUUUCUGCCCUAAAGCUGUCCAACUAAGUUCUUGAGGAUCUCAAGAGGACUUCGAGGGAACUCCCGGCGAAGCGUCUUAGAGCUAAUUUCUCAAACUUUGACUUUUGAUACUUGGUUUGGAAGUGGAAGUUCUGAGGCUUAAUUAGUGACCCCCAAAAAUAAUUUUUCCCUGCAGGGCUCGAGGCCAAAGAAAGCGC